rnacentral:rRNA from 1 species
GACGAACGCUGGCGGCGUGCUUAACACAUGCAAGUCGAGCGGAGCGGCGAACGGGUGAGUAACGCGUGAGUAACUGCCCCCCUCUCUGGGAUAACAGUUGGAAACGGCUGCUAAUACCGGAUAGUGGGGGAUGACUCGCGUCCUAUCAGCUUGUGGGUGGGGUAGUGGCCUACCAAGGCGACGACGGGUCGCCGGCCUGAGAGGGCGACAGGCCACAUUGGGCUGAGAUACCGGCCAAAGUCCUGCGGGAGGCAGGAGUGGGAAAUAUUGCACAAAGGGGAAAACCCGGAUGCAGCAACGCGCGUGCGGGAUGACUGUCUUCGGGUUGUAAACCGCUUUCAGCCAUGACGCGGUAGUGGCAUAAGAAGCACCGGCUAACUACGUGCCAGCAGCCGCGGUAAUAC